UACGUAGGUGGCAAGCGUUGUCCGGAUUUACUGGGCGUAAAGAGCGCGCAGGCGGCUGGUCAAGUCCGAUGUGAAAGCUCCCGGCUUAACUGGGAAACGGCAUCGGAAACUGAUCGGCUUGAAGGUGGGAGAGGGUAGUGGAAUUCCCGGUGUAGUGGUGAAAUGCGUAGAUAUCGGGAGGAACACCAGUGGCGAAGGCGACUACCUGGCCCACUCUUGACGCUGAGGCGCGAAAGCUAGGGGAGCAAACGGGG
rnacentral:rRNA from 1 species